rnacentral:lncRNA from 1 species
AGGUGCGAUCAUACCAGCACUAAUGCACCGGAUCCCAUCAGAACUCCGCAGUUAAGCGCUUGGCGAGAGUAGUACUAGGAUGGGUGACCUCCUGGGAAGUCCUUGUGUUGCACCUCUUUUUGCCAAAAUUUCUUGUUCUUUUUGUUAAUUAGCGUAAUUUUACGUCGUUUUUGAAAAAUAAACUUCAAUUGUAUUUCAUUUUUUCCGUUAAUUUACGCAACCUAAAACUCUAUUCGUUAAUUAGCGUAGUUUGACGUCUUUUUUGAAAAAUAAACUUAGAAAUGCAUAUAUACAAUUACAACGCUUUACUCUCAGGUGCGAUCAUACCAGCACUAAUGCACCGGAUCCCAUCAGAACUCCGCAGUUAAGCGGCUUGGGCGAGAGUAGUACUAGGAUGGGUGACCUCCUGGGAAGUCCUUGUGUUGCACCUCUUUUUGCCAAAAUUUCUUGUUCUUUUUGUUAAUUAGCGUAAUUUUACGUCGUUUUUGAAAAAUAAACUUCAAUUGUAUUUCAUUUUUUCCGUUAAUUUACGCAACCUAAAACUCUAUUCGUUAAUUAGCGUAGUUUGACGUCUUUUUUGAAAAAUAAACUUAGAAAUGCAUAUAUACAAUUACAACGCUUUACUCUCAGGUGCGAUCAUACCAGCACUAAUGCACCGGAUCCCAUCAGAACUCCGCAGUUAAGCGCGCUUGGGCGAGAGUAGUACUAGGAUGGGUGACCUCCUGGGAAGUCCUUGUGUUGCACCUCUUUUUGCCAAAAUUUCUUGUUCUUUUUGUUAAUUAGCGUAAUUUUACGUCGUUUUUGAAAAAUAAACUUCAAUUGUAUUUCAUUUUUUCCGUUAAUUUACGCAACCUAAAACUCUAUUCGUUAAUUAGCGUAGUUUGACGUCUUUUUUGAAAAAUAAACUUAGAAAUGCAUAUAUACAAUUACAACGCUUUACUCUCAGGUGCGAUCAUACCAGCACUAAUGCACCGGAUCCCAUCAGAACUCCGCAGUUAAGCGGCUUGGGCGAGAGUAGUACUAGGAUGGGUGACCUCCUGGGAAGUCCUUGUGUUGCACCUCUUUUUGCCAAAAUUUCUUGUUCUUUUUGUUAAUUAGCGUAAUUUUACGUCGUUUUUGAAAAAUAAACUUCAAUUGUAUUUCAUUUUUUCCGUUAAUUUACGCAACCUAAAACUCUAUUCGUUAAUUAGCGUAGUUUGACGUCUUUUUUGAAAAAUAAACUUAGAAAUGCAUAUAUACAAUUACAACGCUUUACUCUCAGGUGCGAUCAUACCAGCACUAAUGCACCGGAUCCCAUCAGAACUCCGCAGUUAAGCGGCUUGGGCGAGAGUAGUACUAGGAUGGGUGACCUCCUGGGAAGUCCUUGUGUUGCACCUCUUUUUGCCAAAAUUUCUUGUUCUUUUUGUUAAUUAGCGUAAUUUUACGUCGUUUUUGAAAAAUAAACUUCAAUUGUAUUUCAUUUUUUCCGUUAAUUUACGCAACCUAAAACUCUAUUCGUUAAUUAGCGUAGUUUGACGUCUUUUUUGAAAAAUAAACUUAGAAAUGCAUAUAUACAAUUACAACGCUUUACUCUCAGGUGCGAUCAUACCAGCACUAAUGCACCGGAUCCCAUCAGAACUCCGCAGUUAAGCGGCUUGGGCGAGAGUAGUACUAGGAUGGGUGACCUCCUGGGAAGUCCUUGUGUUGCACCUCUUUUUGCCAAAAUUUCUUGUUCUUUUUGUUAAUUAGCGUAAUUUUACGUCGUUUUUGAAAAAUAAACUUCAAUUGUAUUUCAUUUUUUCCGUUAAUUUACGCAACCUAAAACUCUAUUCGUUAAUUAGCGUAGUUUGACGUCUUUUUUGAAAAAUAAACUUAGAAAUGCAUAUAUACAAUUACAACGCUUUACUCUCAGGUGCGAUCAUACCAGCACUAAUGCACCGGAUCCCAUCAGAACUCCGCAGUUAAGCGGCUUGGGCGAGAGUAGUACUAGGAUGGGUGACCUCCUGGGAAGUCCUUGUGUUGCACCUCUUUUUGCCAAAAUUUCUUGUUCUUUUUGUUAAUUAGCGUAAUUUUACGUCGUUUUUGAAAAAUAAACUUCAAUUGUAUUUCAUUUUUUCCGUUAAUUUACGCAACCUAAAACUCUAUUCGUUAAUUAGCGUAGUUUGACGUCUUUUUUGAAAAAUAAACUUAGAAAUGCAUAUAUACAAUUACAACGCUUUACUCUCAGGUGCGAUCAUACCAGCACUAAUGCACCGGAUCCCAUCAGAACUCCGCAGUUAAGCGGCUUGGGCGAGAGUAGUACUAGGAUGGGUGACCUCCUGGGAAGUCCUUGUGUUGCACCUCUUUUUGCCAAAAUUUCUUGUUCUUUUUGUUAAUUAGCGUAAUUUUACGUCGUUUUUGAAAAAUAAACUUCAAUUGUAUUUCAUUUUUUCCGUUAAUUUACGCAACCUAAAACUCUAUUCGUUAAUUAGCGUAGUUUGACGUCUUUUUUGAAAAAUAAACUUAGAAAUGCAUAUAUACAAUUACAACGCUUUACUCUCAGGUGCGAUCAUACCAGCACUAAUGCACCGGAUCCCAUCAGAACUCCGCAGUUAAGCGGCUUGGGCGAGAGUAGUACUAGGAUGGGUGACCUCCUGGGAAGUCCUUGUGUUGCACCUCUUUUUGCCAAAAUUUCUUGUUCUUUUUGUUAAUUAGCGUAAUUUUACGUCGUUUUUGAAAAAUAAACUUCAAUUGUAUUUCAUUUUUUCCGUUAAUUUACGCAACCUAAAACUCUAUUCGUUAAUUAGCGUAGUUUGACGUCUUUUUUGAAAAAUAAACUUAGAAAUGCAUAUAUACAAUUACAACGCUUUACUCUCAGGUGCGAUCAUACCAGCACUAAUGCACCGGAUCCCAUCAGAACUCCGCAGUUAAGCGGCUUGGGCGAGAGUAGUACUAGGAUGGGUGACCUCCUGGGAAGUCCUUGUGUUGCACCUCUUUUUGCCAAAAUUUCUUGUUCUUUUUGUUAAUUAGCGUAAUUUUACGUCGUUUUUGAAAAAUAAACUUCAAUUGUAUUUCAUUUUUUCCGUUAAUUUACGCAACCUAAAACUCUAUUCGUUAAUUAGCGUAGUUUGACGUCUUUUUUGAAAAAUAAACUUAGAAAUGCAUAUAUACAAUUACAACGCUUUACUCUCAGGUGCGAUCAUACCAGCACUAAUGCACCGGAUCCCAUCAGAACUCCGCAGUUAAGCGUGCUUGGGCGAGAGUAGUACUAGGAUGGGUGACCUCCUGGGAAGUCCUUGUGUUGCACCUCUUUUUGCCAAAAUUUCUUGUUCUUUUUGUUAAUUAGCGUAAUUUUACGUCGUUUUUGAAAAAUAAACUUCAAUUGUAUUUCAUUUUUUCCGUUAAUUUACGCAACCUAAAACUCUAUUCGUUAAUUAGCGUAGUUUGACGUCUUUUUUGAAAAAUAAACUUAGAAAUGCAUAUAUACAAUUACAACGCUUUACUCUCAGGUGCGAUCAUACCAGCACUAAUGCACCGGAUCCCAUCAGAACUCCGCAGUUAAGCGGCUUGGGCGAGAGUAGUACUAGGAUGGGUGACCUCCUGGGAAGUCCUUGUGUUGCACCUCUUUUUGCCAAAAUUUCUUGUUCUUUUUGUUAAUUAGCGUAAUUUUACGUCGUUUUUGAAAAAUAAACUUCAAUUGUAUUUCAUUUUUUCCGUUAAUUUACGCAACCUAAAACUCUAUUCGUUAAUUAGCGUAGUUUGACGUCUUUUUUGAAAAAUAAACUUAGAAAUGCAUAUAUACAAUUACAACGCUUUACUCUCAGGUGCGAUCAUACCAGCACUAAUGCACCGGAUCCCAUCAGAACUCCGCAGUUAAGCGGCUUGGGCGAGAGUAGUACUAGGAUGGGUGACCUCCUGGGAAGUCCUUGUGUUGCACCUCUUUUUGCCAAAAUUUCUUGUUCUUUUUGUUAAUUAGCGUAAUUUUACGUCGUUUUUGAAAAAUAAACUUCAAUUGUAUUUCAUUUUUUCCGUUAAUUUACGCAACCUAAAACUCUAUUCGUUAAUUAGCGUAGUUUGACGUCUUUUUUGAAAAAUAAACUUAGAAAUGCAUAUAUACAAUUACAACGCUUUACUCUCAGGUGCGAUCAUACCAGCACUAAUGCACCGGAUCCCAUCAGAACUCCGCAGUUAAGCGCGCUUGGGCGAGAGUAGUACUAGGAUGGGUGACCUCCUGGGAAGUCCUUGUGUUGCACCUCUUUUUGCCAAAAUUUCUUGUUCUUUUUGUUAAUUAGCGUAAUUUUACGUCGUUUUUGAAAAAUAAACUUCAAUUGUAUUUCAUUUUUUCCGUUAAUUUACGCAACCUAAAACUCUAUUCGUUAAUUAGCGUAGUUUGACGUCUUUUUUGAAAAAUAAACUUAGAAAUGCAUAUAUACAAUUACAACGCUUUACUCUCAGGUGCGAUCAUACCAGCACUAAUGCACCGGAUCCCAUCAGAACUCCGCAGUUAAGCGGCUUGGGCGAGAGUAGUACUAGGAUGGGUGACCUCCUGGGAAGUCCUUGUGUUGCACCUCUUUUUGCCAAAAUUUCUUGUUCUUUUUGUUAAUUAGCGUAAUUUUACGUCGUUUUUGAAAAAUAAACUUCAAUUGUAUUUCAUUUUUUCCGUUAAUUUACGCAACCUAAAACUCUAUUCGUUAAUUAGCGUAGUUUGACGUCUUUUUUGAAAAAUAAACUUAGAAAUGCAUAUAUACAAUUACAACGCUUUACUCUCAGGUGCGAUCAUACCAGCACUAAUGCACCGGAUCCCAUCAGAACUCCGCAGUUAAGCGGCUUGGGCGAGAGUAGUACUAGGAUGGGUGACCUCCUGGGAAGUCCUUGUGUUGCACCUCUUUUUGCCAAAAUUUCUUGUUCUUUUUGUUAAUUAGCGUAAUUUUACGUCGUUUUUGAAAAAUAAACUUCAAUUGUAUUUCAUUUUUUCCGUUAAUUUACGCAACCUAAAACUCUAUUCGUUAAUUAGCGUAGUUUGACGUCUUUUUUGAAAAAUAAACUUAGAAAUGCAUAUAUACAAUUACAACGCUUUACUCUCAGGUGCGAUCAUACCAGCACUAAUGCACCGGAUCCCAUCAGAACUCCGCAGUUAAGCGGCUUGGGCGAGAGUAGUACUAGGAUGGGUGACCUCCUGGGAAGUCCUUGUGUUGCACCUCUUUUUGCCAAAAUUUCUUGUUCUUUUUGUUAAUUAGCGUAAUUUUACGUCGUUUUUGAAAAAUAAACUUCAAUUGUAUUUCAUUUUUUCCGUUAAUUUACGCAACCUAAAACUCUAUUCGUUAAUUAGCGUAGUUUGACGUCUUUUUUGAAAAAUAAACUUAGAAAUGCAUAUAUACAAUUACAACGCUUUACUCUCAGGUGCGAUCAUACCAGCACUAAUGCACCGGAUCCCAUCAGAACUCCGCAGUUAAGCGCGCUUGGGCGAGAGUAGUACUAGGAUGGGUGACCUCCUGGGAAGUCCUUGUGUUGCACCUCUUUUUGCCAAAAUUUCUUGUUCUUUUUGUUAAUUAGCGUAAUUUUACGUCGUUUUUGAAAAAUAAACUUCAAUUGUAUUUCAUUUUUUCCGUUAAUUUACGCAACCUAAAACUCUAUUCGUUAAUUAGCGUAGUUUGACGUCUUUUUUGAAAAAUAAACUUAGAAAUGCAUAUAUACAAUUACAACGCUUUACUCUCAGGUGCGAUCAUACCAGCACUAAUGCACCGGAUCCCAUCAGAACUCCGCAGUUAAGCGGCUUGGGCGAGAGUAGUACUAGGAUGGGUGACCUCCUGGGAAGUCCUUGUGUUGCACCUCUUUUUGCCAAAAUUUCUUGUUCUUUUUGUUAAUUAGCGUAAUUUUACGUCGUUUUUGAAAAAUAAACUUCAAUUGUAUUUCAUUUUUUCCGUUAAUUUACGCAACCUAAAACUCUAUUCGUUAAUUAGCGUAGUUUGACGUCUUUUUUGAAAAAUAAACUUAGAAAUGCAUAUAUACAAUUACAACGCUUUACUCUCAGGUGCGAUCAUACCAGCACUAAUGCACCGGAUCCCAUCAGAACUCCGCAGUUAAGCGGCUUGGGCGAGAGUAGUACUAGGAUGGGUGACCUCCUGGGAAGUCCUUGUGUUGCACCUCUUUUUGCCAAAAUUUCUUGUUCUUUUUGUUAAUUAGCGUAAUUUUACGUCGUUUUUGAAAAAUAAACUUCAAUUGUAUUUCAUUUUUUCCGUUAAUUUACGCAACCUAAAACUCUAUUCGUUAAUUAGCGUAGUUUGACGUCUUUUUUGAAAAAUAAACUUAGAAAUGCAUAUAUACAAUUACAACGCUUUACUCUCAGGUGCGAUCAUACCAGCACUAAUGCACCGGAUCCCAUCAGAACUCCGCAGUUAAGCGCGCUUGGGCGAGAGUAGUACUAGGAUGGGUGACCUCCUGGGAAGUCCUUGUGUUGCACCUCUUUUUGCCAAAAUUUCUUGUUCUUUUUGUUAAUUAGCGUAAUUUUACGUCGUUUUUGAAAAAUAAACUUCAAUUGUAUUUCAUUUUUUCCGUUAAUUUACGCAACCUAAAACUCUAUUCGUUAAUUAGCGUAGUUUGACGUCUUUUUUGAAAAAUAAACUUAGAAAUGCAUAUAUACAAUUACAACGCUUUACUCUCAGGUGCGAUCAUACCAGCACUAAUGCACCGGAUCCCAUCAGAACUCCGCAGUUAAGCGCGCUUGGGCGAGAGUAGUACUAGGAUGGGUGACCUCCUGGGAAGUCCUUGUGUUGCACCUCUUUUUGCCAAAAUUUCUUGUUCUUUUUGUUAAUUAGCGUAAUUUUACGUCGUUUUUGAAAAAUAAACUUCAAUUGUAUUUCAUUUUUUCCGUUAAUUUACGCAACCUAAAACUCUAUUCGUUAAUUAGCGUAGUUUGACGUCUUUUUUGAAAAAUAAACUUAGAAAUGCAUAUAUACAAUUACAACGCUUUACUCUCAGGUGCGAUCAUACCAGCACUAAUGCACCGGAUCCCAUCAGAACUCCGCAGUUAAGCGGCUUGGGCGAGAGUAGUACUAGGAUGGGUGACCUCCUGGGAAGUCCUUGUGUUGCACCUCUUUUUGCCAAAAUUUCUUGUUCUUUUUGUUAAUUAGCGUAAUUUUACGUCGUUUUUGAAAAAUAAACUUCAAUUGUAUUUCAUUUUUUCCGUUAAUUUACGCAACCUAAAACUCUAUUCGUUAAUUAGCGUAGUUUGACGUCUUUUUUGAAAAAUAAACUUAGAAAUGCAUAUAUACAAUUACAACGCUUUACUCUCAGGUGCGAUCAUACCAGCACUAAUGCACCGGAUCCCAUCAGAACUCCGCAGUUAAGCGGCUUGGGCGAGAGUAGUACUAGGAUGGGUGACCUCCUGGGAAGUCCUUGUGUUGCACCUCUUUUUGCCAAAAUUUCUUGUUCUUUUUGUUAAUUAGCGUAAUUUUACGUCGUUUUUGAAAAAUAAACUUCAAUUGUAUUUCAUUUUUUCCGUUAAUUUACGCAACCUAAAACUCUAUUCGUUAAUUAGCGUAGUUUGACGUCUUUUUUGAAAAAUAAACUUAGAAAUGCAUAUAUACAAUUACAACGCUUUACUCUCAGGUGCGAUCAUACCAGCACUAAUGCACCGGAUCCCAUCAGAACUCCGCAGUUAAGCGCGCUUGGGCGAGAGUAGUACUAGGAUGGGUGACCUCCUGGGAAGUCCUUGUGUUGCACCUCUUUUUGCCAAAAUUUCUUGUUCUUUUUGUUAAUUAGCGUAAUUUUACGUCGUUUUUGAAAAAUAAACUUCAAUUGUAUUUCAUUUUUUCCGUUAAUUUACGCAACCUAAAACUCUAUUCGUUAAUUAGCGUAGUUUGACGUCUUUUUUGAAAAAUAAACUUAGAAAUGCAUAUAUACAAUUACAACGCUUUACUCUCAGGUGCGAUCAUACCAGCACUAAUGCACCGGAUCCCAUCAGAACUCCGCAGUUAAGCGGCUUGGGCGAGAGUAGUACUAGGAUGGGUGACCUCCUGGGAAGUCCUUGUGUUGCACCUCUUUUUGCCAAAAUUUCUUGUUCUUUUUGUUAAUUAGCGUAAUUUUACGUCGUUUUUGAAAAAUAAACUUCAAUUGUAUUUCAUUUUUUCCGUUAAUUUACGCAACCUAAAACUCUAUUCGUUAAUUAGCGUAGUUUGACGUCUUUUUUGAAAAAUAAACUUAGAAAUGCAUAUAUACAAUUACAACGCUUUACUCUCAGGUGCGAUCAUACCAGCACUAAUGCACCGGAUCCCAUCAGAACUCCGCAGUUAAGCGGCUUGGGCGAGAGUAGUACUAGGAUGGGUGACCUCCUGGGAAGUCCUUGUGUUGCACCUCUUUUUGCCAAAAUUUCUUGUUCUUUUUGUUAAUUAGCGUAAUUUUACGUCGUUUUUGAAAAAUAAACUUCAAUUGUAUUUCAUUUUUUCCGUUAAUUUACGCAACCUAAAACUCUAUUCGUUAAUUAGCGUAGUUUGACGUCUUUUUUGAAAAAUAAACUUAGAAAUGCAUAUAUACAAUUACAACGCUUUACUCUCAGGUGCGAUCAUACCAGCACUAAUGCACCGGAUCCCAUCAGAACUCCGCAGUUAAGCGCGCUUGGGCGAGAGUAGUACUAGGAUGGGUGACCUCCUGGGAAGUCCUUGUGUUGCACCUCUUUUUGCCAAAAUUUCUUGUUCUUUUUGUUAAUUAGCGUAAUUUUACGUCGUUUUUGAAAAAUAAACUUCAAUUGUAUUUCAUUUUUUCCGUUAAUUUACGCAACCUAAAACUCUAUUCGUUAAUUAGCGUAGUUUGACGUCUUUUUUGAAAAAUAAACUUAGAAAUGCAUAUAUACAAUUACAACGCUUUACUCUCAGGUGCGAUCAUACCAGCACUAAUGCACCGGAUCCCAUCAGAACUCCGCAGUUAAGCGCGCUUGGGCGAGAGUAGUACUAGGAUGGGUGACCUCCUGGGAAGUCCUUGUGUUGCACCUCUUUUUGCCAAAAUUUCUUGUUCUUUUUGUUAAUUAGCGUAAUUUUACGUCGUUUUUGAAAAAUAAACUUCAAUUGUAUUUCAUUUUUUCCGUUAAUUUACGCAACCUAAAACUCUAUUCGUUAAUUAGCGUAGUUUGACGUCUUUUUUGAAAAAUAAACUUAGAAAUGCAUAUAUACAAUUACAACGCUUUACUCUCAGGUGCGAUCAUACCAGCACUAAUGCACCGGAUCCCAUCAGAACUCCGCAGUUAAGCGCGCUUGGGCGAGAGUAGUACUAGGAUGGGUGACCUCCUGGGAAGUCCUUGUGUUGCACCUCUUUUUGCCAAAAUUUCUUGUUCUUUUUGUUAAUUAGCGUAAUUUUACGUCGUUUUUGAAAAAUAAACUUCAAUUGUAUUUCAUUUUUUCCGUUAAUUUACGCAACCUAAAACUCUAUUCGUUAAUUAGCGUAGUUUGACGUCUUUUUUGAAAAAUAAACUUAGAAAUGCAUAUAUACAAUUACAACGCUUUACUCUCAGGUGCGAUCAUACCAGCACUAAUGCACCGGAUCCCAUCAGAACUCCGCAGUUAAGCGGCUUGGGCGAGAGUAGUACUAGGAUGGGUGACCUCCUGGGAAGUCCUUGUGUUGCACCUCUUUUUGCCAAAAUUUCUUGUUCUUUUUGUUAAUUAGCGUAAUUUUACGUCGUUUUUGAAAAAUAAACUUCAAUUGUAUUUCAUUUUUUCCGUUAAUUUACGCAACCUAAAACUCUAUUCGUUAAUUAGCGUAGUUUGACGUCUUUUUUGAAAAAUAAACUUAGAAAUGCAUAUAUACAAUUACAACGCUUUACUCUCAGGUGCGAUCAUACCAGCACUAAUGCACCGGAUCCCAUCAGAACUCCGCAGUUAAGCGCGCUUGGGCGAGAGUAGUACUAGGAUGGGUGACCUCCUGGGAAGUCCUUGUGUUGCACCUCUUUUUGCCAAAAUUUCUUGUUCUUUUUGUUAAUUAGCGUAAUUUUACGUCGUUUUUGAAAAAUAAACUUCAAUUGUAUUUCAUUUUUUCCGUUAAUUUACGCAACCUAAAACUCUAUUCGUUAAUUAGCGUAGUUUGACGUCUUUUUUGAAAAAUAAACUUAGAAAUGCAUAUAUACAAUUACAACGCUUUACUCUCAGGUGCGAUCAUACCAGCACUAAUGCACCGGAUCCCAUCAGAACUCCGCAGUUAAGCGGCUUGGGCGAGAGUAGUACUAGGAUGGGUGACCUCCUGGGAAGUCCUUGUGUUGCACCUCUUUUUGCCAAAAUUUCUUGUUCUUUUUGUUAAUUAGCGUAAUUUUACGUCGUUUUUGAAAAAUAAACUUCAAUUGUAUUUCAUUUUUUCCGUUAAUUUACGCAACCUAAAACUCUAUUCGUUAAUUAGCGUAGUUUGACGUCUUUUUUGAAAAAUAAACUUAGAAAUGCAUAUAUACAAUUACAACGCUUUACUCUCAGGUGCGAUCAUACCAGCACUAAUGCACCGGAUCCCAUCAGAACUCCGCAGUUAAGCGCGCUUGGGCGAGAGUAGUACUAGGAUGGGUGACCUCCUGGGAAGUCCUUGUGUUGCACCUCUUUUUGCCAAAAUUUCUUGUUCUUUUUGUUAAUUAGCGUAAUUUUACGUCGUUUUUGAAAAAUAAACUUCAAUUGUAUUUCAUUUUUUCCGUUAAUUUACGCAACCUAAAACUCUAUUCGUUAAUUAGCGUAGUUUGACGUCUUUUUUGAAAAAUAAACUUAGAAAUGCAUAUAUACAAUUACAACGCUUUACUCUCAGGUGCGAUCAUACCAGCACUAAUGCACCGGAUCCCAUCAGAACUCCGCAGUUAAGCGCGCUUGGGCGAGAGUAGUACUAGGAUGGGUGACCUCCUGGGAAGUCCUUGUGUUGCACCUCUUUUUGCCAAAAUUUCUUGUUCUUUUUGUUAAUUAGCGUAAUUUUACGUCGUUUUUGAAAAAUAAACUUCAAUUGUAUUUCAUUUUUUCCGUUAAUUUACGCAACCUAAAACUCUAUUCGUUAAUUAGCGUAGUUUGACGUCUUUUUUGAAAAAUAAACUUAGAAAUGCAUAUAUACAAUUACAACGCUUUACUCUCAGGUGCGAUCAUACCAGCACUAAUGCACCGGAUCCCAUCAGAACUCCGCAGUUAAGCGCGCUUGGGCGAGAGUAGUACUAGGAUGGGUGACCUCCUGGGAAGUCCUUGUGUUGCACCUCUUUUUGCCAAAAUUUCUUGUUCUUUUUGUUAAUUAGCGUAAUUUUACGUCGUUUUUGAAAAAUAAACUUCAAUUGUAUUUCAUUUUUUCCGUUAAUUUACGCAACCUAAAACUCUAUUCGUUAAUUAGCGUAGUUUGACGUCUUUUUUGAAAAAUAAACUUAGAAAUGCAUAUAUACAAUUACAACGCUUUACUCUCAGGUGCGAUCAUACCAGCACUAAUGCACCGGAUCCCAUCAGAACUCCGCAGUUAAGCGCGCUUGGGCGAGAGUAGUACUAGGAUGGGUGACCUCCUGGGAAGUCCUUGUGUUGCACCUCUUUUUGCCAAAAUUUCUUGUUCUUUUUGUUAAUUAGCGUAAUUUUACGUCGUUUUUGAAAAAUAAACUUCAAUUGUAUUUCAUUUUUUCCGUUAAUUUACGCAACCUAAAACUCUAUUCGUUAAUUAGCGUAGUUUGACGUCUUUUUUGAAAAAUAAACUUAGAAAUGCAUAUAUACAAUUACAACGCUUUACUCUCAGGUGCGAUCAUACCAGCACUAAUGCACCGGAUCCCAUCAGAACUCCGCAGUUAAGCGCGCUUGGGCGAGAGUAGUACUAGGAUGGGUGACCUCCUGGGAAGUCCUUGUGUUGCACCUCUUUUUGCCAAAAUUUCUUGUUCUUUUUGUUAAUUAGCGUAAUUUUACGUCGUUUUUGAAAAAUAAACUUCAAUUGUAUUUCAUUUUUUCCGUUAAUUUACGCAACCUAAAACUCUAUUCGUUAAUUAGCGUAGUUUGACGUCUUUUUUGAAAAAUAAACUUAGAAAUGCAUAUAUACAAUUACAACGCUUUACUCUCAGGUGCGAUCAUACCAGCACUAAUGCACCGGAUCCCAUCAGAACUCCGCAGUUAAGCGCGCUUGGGCGAGAGUAGUACUAGGAUGGGUGACCUCCUGGGAAGUCCUUGUGUUGCACCUCUUUUUGCCAAAAUUUCUUGUUCUUUUUGUUAAUUAGCGUAAUUUUACGUCGUUUUUGAAAAAUAAACUUCAAUUGUAUUUCAUUUUUUCCGUUAAUUUACGCAACCUAAAACUCUAUUCGUUAAUUAGCGUAGUUUGACGUCUUUUUUGAAAAAUAAACUUAGAAAUGCAUAUAUACAAUUACAACGCUUUACUCUCAGGUGCGAUCAUACCAGCACUAAUGCACCGGAUCCCAUCAGAACUCCGCAGUUAAGCGCGCUUGGGCGAGAGUAGUACUAGGAUGGGUGACCUCCUGGGAAGUCCUUGUGUUGCACCUCUUUUUGCCAAAAUUUCUUGUUCUUUUUGUUAAUUAGCGUAAUUUUACGUCGUUUUUGAAAAAUAAACUUCAAUUGUAUUUCAUUUUUUCCGUUAAUUUACGCAACCUAAAACUCUAUUCGUUAAUUAGCGUAGUUUGACGUCUUUUUUGAAAAAUAAACUUAGAAAUGCAUAUAUACAAUUACAACGCUUUACUCUCAGGUGCGAUCAUACCAGCACUAAUGCACCGGAUCCCAUCAGAACUCCGCAGUUAAGCGCGCUUGGGCGAGAGUAGUACUAGGAUGGGUGACCUCCUGGGAAGUCCUUGUGUUGCACCUCUUUUUGCCAAAAUUUCUUGUUCUUUUUGUUAAUUAGCGUAAUUUUACGUCGUUUUUGAAAAAUAAACUUCAAUUGUAUUUCAUUUUUUCCGUUAAUUUACGCAACCUAAAACUCUAUUCGUUAAUUAGCGUAGUUUGACGUCUUUUUUGAAAAAUAAACUUAGAAAUGCAUAUAUACAAUUACAACGCUUUACUCUCAGGUGCGAUCAUACCAGCACUAAUGCACCGGAUCCCAUCAGAACUCCGCAGUUAAGCGGCUUGGGCGAGAGUAGUACUAGGAUGGGUGACCUCCUGGGAAGUCCUUGUGUUGCACCUCUUUUUGCCAAAAUUUCUUGUUCUUUUUGUUAAUUAGCGUAAUUUUACGUCGUUUUUGAAAAAUAAACUUCAAUUGUAUUUCAUUUUUUCCGUUAAUUUACGCAACCUAAAACUCUAUUCGUUAAUUAGCGUAGUUUGACGUCUUUUUUGAAAAAUAAACUUAGAAAUGCAUAUAUACAAUUACAACGCUUUACUCUCAGGUGCGAUCAUACCAGCACUAAUGCACCGGAUCCCAUCAGAACUCCGCAGUUAAGCGCGCUUGGGCGAGAGUAGUACUAGGAUGGGUGACCUCCUGGGAAGUCCUUGUGUUGCACCUCUUUUUGCCAAAAUUUCUUGUUCUUUUUGUUAAUUAGCGUAAUUUUACGUCGUUUUUGAAAAAUAAACUUCAAUUGUAUUUCAUUUUUUCCGUUAAUUUACGCAACCUAAAACUCUAUUCGUUAAUUAGCGUAGUUUGACGUCUUUUUUGAAAAAUAAACUUAGAAAUGCAUAUAUACAAUUACAACGCUUUACUCUCAGGUGCGAUCAUACCAGCACUAAUGCACCGGAUCCCAUCAGAACUCCGCAGUUAAGCGGCUUGGGCGAGAGUAGUACUAGGAUGGGUGACCUCCUGGGAAGUCCUUGUGUUGCACCUCUUUUUGCCAAAAUUUCUUGUUCUUUUUGUUAAUUAGCGUAAUUUUACGUCGUUUUUGAAAAAUAAACUUCAAUUGUAUUUCAUUUUUUCCGUUAAUUUACGCAACCUAAAACUCUAUUCGUUAAUUAGCGUAGUUUGACGUCUUUUUUGAAAAAUAAACUUAGAAAUGCAUAUAUACAAUUACAACGCUUUACUCUCAGGUGCGAUCAUACCAGCACUAAUGCACCGGAUCCCAUCAGAACUCCGCAGUUAAGCGCGCUUGGGCGAGAGUAGUACUAGGAUGGGUGACCUCCUGGGAAGUCCUUGUGUUGCACCUCUUUUUGCCAAAAUUUCUUGUUCUUUUUGUUAAUUAGCGUAAUUUUACGUCGUUUUUGAAAAAUAAACUUCAAUUGUAUUUCAUUUUUUCCGUUAAUUUACGCAACCUAAAACUCUAUUCGUUAAUUAGCGUAGUUUGACGUCUUUUUUGAAAAAUAAACUUAGAAAUGCAUAUAUACAAUUACAACGCUUUACUCUCAGGUGCGAUCAUACCAGCACUAAUGCACCGGAUCCCAUCAGAACUCCGCAGUUAAGCGGCUUGGGCGAGAGUAGUACUAGGAUGGGUGACCUCCUGGGAAGUCCUUGUGUUGCACCUCUUUUUGCCAAAAUUUCUUGUUCUUUUUGUUAAUUAGCGUAAUUUUACGUCGUUUUUGAAAAAUAAACUUCAAUUGUAUUUCAUUUUUUCCGUUAAUUUACGCAACCUAAAACUCUAUUCGUUAAUUAGCGUAGUUUGACGUCUUUUUUGAAAAAUAAACUUAGAAAUGCAUAUAUACAAUUACAACGCUUUACUCUCAGGUGCGAUCAUACCAGCACUAAUGCACCGGAUCCCAUCAGAACUCCGCAGUUAAGCGCGCUUGGGCGAGAGUAGUACUAGGAUGGGUGACCUCCUGGGAAGUCCUUGUGUUGCACCUCUUUUUGCCAAAAUUUCUUGUUCUUUUUGUUAAUUAGCGUAAUUUUACGUCGUUUUUGAAAAAUAAACUUCAAUUGUAUUUCAUUUUUUCCGUUAAUUUACGCAACCUAAAACUCUAUUCGUUAAUUAGCGUAGUUUGACGUCUUUUUUGAAAAAUAAACUUAGAAAUGCAUAUAUACAAUUACAACGCUUUACUCUCAGGUGCGAUCAUACCAGCACUAAUGCACCGGAUCCCAUCAGAACUCCGCAGUUAAGCGGCUUGGGCGAGAGUAGUACUAGGAUGGGUGACCUCCUGGGAAGUCCUUGUGUUGCACCUCUUUUUGCCAAAAUUUCUUGUUCUUUUUGUUAAUUAGCGUAAUUUUACGUCGUUUUUGAAAAAUAAACUUCAAUUGUAUUUCAUUUUUUCCGUUAAUUUACGCAACCUAAAACUCUAUUCGUUAAUUAGCGUAGUUUGACGUCUUUUUUGAAAAAUAAACUUAGAAAUGCAUAUAUACAAUUACAACGCUUUACUCUCAGGUGCGAUCAUACCAGCACUAAUGCACCGGAUCCCAUCAGAACUCCGCAGUUAAGCGGCUUGGGCGAGAGUAGUACUAGGAUGGGUGACCUCCUGGGAAGUCCUUGUGUUGCACCUCUUUUUGCCAAAAUUUCUUGUUCUUUUUGUUAAUUAGCGUAAUUUUACGUCGUUUUUGAAAAAUAAACUUCAAUUGUAUUUCAUUUUUUCCGUUAAUUUACGCAACCUAAAACUCUAUUCGUUAAUUAGCGUAGUUUGACGUCUUUUUUGAAAAAUAAACUUAGAAAUGCAUAUAUACAAUUACAACGCUUUACUCUCAGGUGCGAUCAUACCAGCACUAAUGCACCGGAUCCCAUCAGAACUCCGCAGUUAAGCGUGCAAAAUCCGAAAAUUUCUCCAG